rnacentral:rRNA from 1 species
AAGUUUUCAGAGAUGAGAAUGUGCCUUCGGGAACCGUGAGACAGGUGCUGCAUGGCUGUCGUCAGCUCGUGUUGUGAAAUGUUGGGUUAAGUCCCGCAACGAGCGCAACCCUUAUCCUUUGUUGCCAGCGGUCCGGCCGGGAACUCAAAGGAGACUGCCAGUGAUAAACUGGAGGAAGGUGGGGAUGACGUCAAGUCAUCAUGGCCCUUACGACCAGGGCUACACACGUGCUACAAUGGCGCAUACAAAGAGAAGCGACCUCGCGAGA